rnacentral:rRNA from 1 species
AUACCGUGAACUGCGAAUGGCUCAUUAAAUCAGUUAUCGUUUAUUUGAUAGUACCUUACUACUUGGAUAACCGUGGUAAUUCUAGAGCUAAUACAUGCUAAAAACCCCAACUUCGGGAGGGGUGUAUUUAUUAGAUAAAAAACCAAUGCCCUUCGGGGCUCCUUGGUGAUUCAUGAUAACUUCUCAGAUCGCAUGGCUUUACGCCGGCGACGGUUCAUUCAAAUUUCUGCCCUAUCAACUUUCGAUGGUAAGGUAUUGGCUUACCAUGGUUUCAACGGGUAACGGGGAAUUAGGGUUCGAUUCCGGAGAGGGAGCCUGAGAAACGGCUACCACAUCCAAGGAAGGCAGCAGGCGCGCAAAUUACCCAAUCCCGAUACGGAGAGGUAGUGACAAUAAAUACUGAUACAGGGCUCUUUUGGGUCUUGUAAUUGGAAUGAGUACAAUUUAAACCUCUUAACGAGGAACAAUUGGAGGGCAAGUCUGGUGCCAGCAGCCGCGGUAAUUCCAGCUCCAAUAGCGUAUAUUAAAGUUGUUGCAGUUAAAAAGCUCGUAGUUGAACCUUGGGCCUGGCUGGCAGGUCCGCCUCACCGCGUGCACUUGUCCGGCCGGGCCUUUUCUUCUGGAGAACCUCAUGCCCUUCACUGGGUGUGCUGGGGAACCAGGACUUUUACUUUGAAAAAAUUAGAGUGUUCAAAGCAGGCCUUUGCUCGAAUACGUUAGCAUGGAAUAAUAGAAUAGGACGUGCGGUCCUAUUUUGUUGGUUUCUAGGACCGCCGUAAUGAUUAAUAGGGACAGUCGGGGGCAUCAGUAUUCAAUUGUCAGAGGUGAAAUUCUUGGAUUUAUUGAAGACUAACUACUGCGAAAGCAUUUGCCAAGGAUGUUUUCAUUAAUCAGUGAACGAAAGUUAGGGGAUCGAAGACGAUCAGAUACCGUCGUAGUCUUAACCAUAAACUAUGCCGACUAGGGAUCGGGCGAUGUUCUCAUUGUGACCCGCUCGGC